rnacentral:rRNA from 1 species
AACGAACGCUGGCGGCAUGCCUAACACAUGCAAGUCGAACGGAAAGGCCCUGCUUUUUUGGGGUGCUCGAGGGGCGAACGGGUGAGUUGCACGUGAGUAACCUGCCCUUGACUUUGGGAUAUCUUCAGGCAGCUGGGGCUAAUACCGGAUAGGAGCUCCUGCUGCUGGGUGGGCGUUGGAAAGUUUCGGCGGUUGGCGAUGGACUGGCGGCUAAUCAGCUUGUUGGUGGGGUAGUGGCUUAGCAAGGCCUGGACGGGUGGCCGGCCUGGGAGGGUGACCGGACACAUUGGGCCUGAGAUACGGCACAGACUCGAAUGGGAGGCAGCAGUGGGGAAUAUUGCACAGUGGGCGGAAGCAUGAUGCGGCAACGCCGCGUGCGGGAUGACGGCAAUCGGGUUGUAAAGCGCUUUCGCUUGUGACGAAGCGUGAGUGACGGUAACGGGUAAAGAAGCACCGGCUAACUACGUG